rnacentral:rRNA from 1 species
CCUACGGGUGGCAGCAGUGGGGAAUAUUGCACAAUGGGCGAAACCCUGACGCAGCGACGCCGCGUGAGUGAAGAAGUAUUUCGGUUUGUAAACCUCUAUCAGCAGGGAAGAAAAUGACGGUACCUGAUUAAGAAGCCCCGGCUAACUACGUGCCAGCAGCCACGGUCAUACGUAGGGGGCGCGCGUUAUCCGGAUUUACUGGGUGUAAAGGGAGCGUAGACGGCAGCGCAAGUCUGAAGUGAAAUACCCGGGCUUAACCCCGGAACUGCUUUGGAAACUGUGCAGCUAGAGUGCAGGAGAGGUAAGUGGAAUUCCUGGUGUAGCGGUGAAAUGCGUAGAUAUUAGGAGGAACACCAGUGGCGAAGGCGGCUUACUGGACCGUAACUGACGCUGAGGCGCGAAAGCGUGGGGAGCAAACAGGAUUAGAUACCCUUGUAGUC